GUAAGGGAUAUUGCACAAUGGGCGAAAGCCUGAUGCAGCAACGCCGCGUGGAGGAUGAAGGCUUUCGGGUCGUAAACUCCUUUUUGACCUGACGAGGAAGGACGGUAGGGUCAGAAUAAGUCACGGCUAACUACGUGCCAGCAGCCGCGGUAAAACGUAGGUGGCGAGCGUUAUCCGGAUUUACUGGGCGUAAAGCGUGUGCAGGCGGGCUGCCAAGUGGUGUAUGAAAGGUCCGAGCUCAACUCGGAUAGGUUAUGCCAGACUGGCAGUCUUGAGUACGAGAGAGGGGCGUGGAAUUCCGGGUGUAGUGGUGAAAUGCGUAGAGAUCCGGAGGAACCCCAGAGGCGAAGGCGGCGCCCUGGCUCGAUACUGACGCUCAGACACGACAGCAUGGGGAGCGAACGGGAUUAGAAACCCUGGUAGUCC
rnacentral:rRNA from 1 species